CCAGCAGCUGCGGUAAUUCCAGCUCCAAUAGCGUAUAUUAAAGUUGUUGCAGUUAAAAAGCUCGUAGUUGGAUUUCUGGUAGGAUGACUGUGCCCUCAGUAGAGCGUGCGCAGGCGUCUUGCCAUCCUUCUGUUAACCUUUGAGAGCUUCAUCGCUCUCUUUGGGGCUCAGAUAUUUUACCUUGAGAAAAUUAGAGUGUUUCAGGCAGGCUUGUGCCCGGAUACAUUAGCAUGGAAUAAUAGAACAGGACUUUAGCCUCUUCUGUUGGUCUGAGGGGUUGAAGUAAUGAUUAAUAGGGAUAGUUGGGGGCAUUAGUACUUAACUGUCAGAGGUGAAAUUCUCGGAUUUGUUAAAGACUAACUUAUGCGAAAGCAUUUGCCAAGGAUGUUUUCAUCAAUCAAGAACGAAAGU
rnacentral:rRNA from 1 species